CCUCAAAUCCAUGGCUACAGUCUCACCGUAGAUACGUGGGACGGGUUUCGAAAAUGGAGGAGGGGAGGGCAGAAGAAAAGAAAACCCUGAUUCGAAAAUGGAGUAUUGGUGAAGAAGAGGAGAACCAGCCAAUUAUCUCAUCUGCGAUCCAGGGAAGGUAUGGGAUUUAAACCAUGAUGAAGAAGAAGCCUACUUCAUGUUACCACUUUUUGAAGAGCAGAUGAACAAUGAUAUCCUGUAAUCUGUCACUUGAUCAACUACCAAAUGUCAUUAGAUCAUAUAUUACCAAUGCCCAUAAAUCUUUUUGCAUAUUUCUGAUAGACUAGUUCAUGCAACAUGAUUUGAUAUCUUUUGUUAGACAAGUAAUUUGGCAAAUUAUUUUAUAUUCUUCCAGUUCCGAUGUAAUAUCAACUGUUGAUCUUGCUACUCAUUGUGGUGUAGAGUUUGAUUUUUGAGUUGUUAUGGCACAAUCGUAAAGAAAUUGGUGGAGACAUGACAGCCCCAAUAAACUGAAUUGCUUUACAGUAGUGGUAUUGGUAGUGGAGGUAUUAGUCCUGACCUAUCAAUUUUGAAUUAUAUGAUUAUUUGUUUAUGUAAAUUAGGAAAGUUCGAGGAGGUUAGAACCCAUUUUGAUAGACUUGUUAUGAUGAGUUCUAUUCCUAGUAAAAUUGCUUGUAAUUUUGUUAUCAGUGGGCUUUAUGCAUAGGAAAAGUUUUUGGAGGCAUUUAAGUGUUUUAUUAGACUCAGUGAGGCUGGUGUUAGUUUAGGUGUUUGGAGUUAUUAUUCGUUGUUUGAUGGUUUAUGUUAUAAAUGAUACAUAUAUGAGGCGAUGUAAUUAUUUGAUAUAAUACGUGAACAAACUUCACCAACGCUGCAUAUGUAUACGUUUUUGUUUUAUGUUCUUUGUAAAAGAGGGUGGAUUAUUGAGGCAGAGACUUUGUUUAGAGAAAUGAAGUAUCAGAGUUUCUUUGUAGAUAAGUUGACGUACACUUCUUUAAUUGAUAGAUGCUGCAACAAUAAGAAGAUAGAAAUGACAAUGCGAGUUUACUUGAGAAUGCUUAAAACUAGUUGUGAGCCGGAUACGUAUACUUGCAACACGUUGAUUCACGGGUUUGCCAAGAUUGAUUUGUUUGAUAAAACUUGAGUAUUGUACAAUCAGAUGAUAGAUAAGAAAA